GUGAGGAAUAUUGGACAAUGGGCGCAAGCCUGAUCCAGCCAUGCCGCGUGCAGGAAGACGCAUCUAUGGUGUGUAAACUGCUUUUGUACGGGAAGAAACACUCCCUCGUGAGGGAGCUUGUCGGUACCGUAAGAAUAAGGAUCGGCUAACUCCGUGCCAGCAGCCGCGGUAAUACGGAGGAUCCAAGCGUUAUCCGGAAUCAUUGGGUUUAAAGGGUCCGUAGGCGGUUUAAUAAGUCAGUGGUGAAAGCCCAUCGCUCAACGAUGGAACGGCCAUUGAUACUGUUAGACUUGAAUUACAAGGAAGUAACUAGAAUAUGUAGUGUAGCGGUGAAAUGCUUAGAUAUUACAUGGAAUACCAAUUGCGAAGGCAGGUUACUACUUGUGGAUUGACGCUGAUGGACGAAAGCGUGGGGAGCGAACAGGAUUAGAUACCCCAGUAGUCC
rnacentral:rRNA from 1 species